rnacentral:rRNA from 1 species
UCGAGCGGUAACAGAUCUAGCUUGCUACAUGCUGACGAGCGGCGGACGGGUGAGUAAUGCAUAGGAAUCUGCCCGAUAGUGGGGGAUAACCUGGGGAAACCCAGGCUAAUACCGCAUACGUCCUACGGGAGAAAGGGGGCUUCGGCUCCCGCUAUUGGAUGAGCCUAUGUCGGAUUAGCUAGUUGGUGAGGUAAUGGCUCACCAAGGCAACGAUCCGUAGCUGGUCUGAGAGGAUGAUCAGCCACAUCGGGACUGAGACACGGCCCGAACUCCUACGGGAGGCAGCAGUGGGGAAUAUUGGACAAUGGGGGCAACCCUGAUCCAGCCAUGCCGCGUGUGUGAAGAAGGCCCUCGGGUUGUAAAGCACUUUCAGCGAGGAAGAACGCCUAUCGGUUAAUACCCGUUAGGAAAGACAUCACUCGCAGAAGAAGCACCGGCUAACUCCGUGCCAGCAGCCGCGGUAAUACGGAGGGUGCAAGCGUUAAUCGGAAUUACUGGGCGUAAAGCGCGCGUAGGUGGCUUGAUAAGCCGGUUGUGAAAGCCCCGGGCUCAACCUGGGAACGGCAUCCGGAACUGUCAGGCUAGAGUGCAGGAGAGGAAGGUAGAAUUCCCGGUGUAGCGGUGAAAUGCGUAGAGAUCGGGAGGAAUACCAGUGGCGAAGGCGGCCUUCUGGACUGACACUGACACUGAGGUGCGAAAGCGUGGGUAGCAAACAGGAUUAGAUACCCUGGUAGUCCACGCCGUAAACGAUGUCGACCAGCCGUUGGGUGCCUAGAGCACUUUGUGGCGAAGUUAACGCG